GUUACUCUGUUUCAUGCUCCAAGCUUUGUGUCCUGUUCUCCUGAGUUUUGAUACACCAACGUCUGAAUGAAAAGGAACCUGUGAAGUCUUUCCUACCCACAGGAAUCCAGGGACCUUUUACUGUUCCAGAUCACAAUGCUGAGGGACCCAUCGGUAGCCCCAAAGACUGAACUGGAACUCUUCUCAAGAAGAGAAAUUCAACAGCUGGAUUUGAUUUGACAACCUUCGAGAUAUAAGAAGCCUGCACUAAACCUGGUUGCUGACGCUGCACCAUGGACCCAAAUGUAGAGGAUGAAGGGUUUUAUCUUCUCCUGCCCUCCAAUGCCAAUCUCAAUGUUUUGAGAACAAUACCAGUUUGAGUUUCAGUGUAAAUUUAGCACAGCAUAUUAAUUCAGAAGGUUCGUUGCAAGUUGCCUUGAUAGAGAUUUCAUACCCGCAUAAUUGGUUAAACCUUACCCCAAACACCAAGUUUUUGAAUGGAGAAAGGCUGAGGAUCAGGAGGUUCAUACUCAAAAAUUCAGAUGGGGGUACUAUCAAGAUCUAAAUCAGCUCAAGAUAGAGUUGGAAACCUUUUUUAGAAAAAAUACACUCAGGUAUUUAUCUCAACUUUAGCAGGAUUAAAAGGAAAUUUGUGUUCCAAGCAGCGGGGCAGUACCAUCUACUUUUCUUCCUCCCAAUGGCUUACAUGUUGGGUGUGAAAUCAGGAGAACAGUUUGAUCAAAGAUUGGCUCCUUUUCUUUUUCCAGUGGAUAUAAAGUCUGACUUUUUUGCUUUUAUCAACUAUGCUGUUACAACUAUCUAGUCACCCAGCAAAUAGUUGGUGACUCUGAAGCCCCUGUCCUAAAAAACUGUUAAAGUGGAGUGCGAUUUGAUGGUGAUAUAAUUACCUAAACUUUUAACCUGGCCCACUAUCUCCCUGUUGCCAGGAAACACAUAUAGAAAUUAAAAUGGAUCAAAAUAUAUUUUACACAUAUCAGUCAUAACGUGCCAUUAACACUCAUACGUAUAUUGUUCUUUGUUUUAAUGGUAUUUCAAGGUAGAUGUUUGACUUUAAAGAAGUGGUGAACAAGCUAUGAGCUUUCGGUUGAUGCUAGUGCCAGUGAGGUCAAAUGAUUACACCUGACUCGUCACCAUCUUAUCAAUGUCACUAGAUGUUCUUGUUACCAUUUUAGUAGUCCAUUACCACAUGUGAUGGCUAGUUAAAACAUUAAGAAUCAACUAUCCAGACAGGUUAUUAGAUUCCAAUCUAGAAAAUAAUAUUUCCUCAAAUGUCAUUUUAAUAAAUAAGUAUAGCUAAUUAAACUCCAUUAAAAAUCACUUAUCCAGAAAGGUCAUUGAUCCCCAAUACCAAUAUUUUCUUAAAUAGUAUUUUACUGGUUGAUUGGUUCUCAAACAUAGAUAACACUGGGUGGUAAUACUGCAUCAUUUUAUUUGCUUUUGUUUUGUUGGUUCCCUUGUUCAUUUAUUUGUAUAUCGUUCAUUUGUUUUCUCUUGGUAGUUUUAGUUUAAUUGUUAUAGCCUAGCAAAUAGUCUGUUAGUUGAAAUAUGUUUAACUUGGAGUUUAAUUGUUUUUGUUAAUAAAUUCUUAUAUUUUAA